ACAGGCUCGGGAUCCCUCGCAGCGCUAGGGGCCGCAGCCCCGGUCGCCGGGGAGUGCCAUGGCAGGGAGGCGGCAGCCACGUGAGGGGUCUGCGGAAGCGCCGGAGCUGAAAGCUGGGGGCGAAGCAUUUUAUUAAUGCUUUUACGAGUUAGAAGAGUUGGGAUAAUUUGCCAUCUGGAGUUUCUCUGCCUUGCUGAUCUGAGCUCAGACCUGCCAAUUUACCAGAGAUAAUUGAUAACACCCUGUAACAGCUGAGAGGAAAAUGGAAGAAACGGAGAUACUUUUAGUGAAGCAGAAUAAACCACUGAACAGGAAAAAUGAGGAAGCUGUGAGUACCAGUGGAAGGAACGAGCCAGGAAGAGGGACUGGAACCAUCUCAGAAGCCAUGCCCCUCAGGCUGGAACUUGCCCUGUCUCCUCGCAGAUGAGCUACCUCUUGUGUUUAAGAAUUAAAGGAAGAUGAGCUAGGAAUCAAGAAAUACGCAGAACUGAUUCCUGUCACUGGCGCCACCCUGCCACUUGCCCAGAGCUGUGGUAUAAAUUUUUUUAAUAGGCUGAAAUAAAAAUAUGAAUAGCAUUUUGGUAUUAAGCAUUAAAUUGAUAAAGGCUAUGAGAUACACCUGCUCUCAACCAUGUUAAUUUUUUAUUAUUGGUAUUAAUAAAUUAUUACUUACUAACAUAUUAACAAGAAUUGCAUUGAGAAACAAAGCAUCCACAGGCCAAAUCUUCUGAAUUUCAAAUGUUUAUAUUAAUGCGUUGUAUUCUAGAAAAGUAGAAUUGUCUUAAGUAGCUUUGUAAUAUAAAGUCAUCUAUCAGCCCAUUACACCUAUUAGAAUGUUUUAACCUUUAUUUCCCACUUUUUUGUUUCUAGACUGAGUGUACUUGGUCUGGUAUUUGUGGCAUAACUUACGGAACACAUAAGAAUGAUACAGAUACUAUUUAAUGAUGACCUAAUACAAGCUUAGAUAGCUAAGGUGAAAGCUUCUAUGGCCUUAACAUUUUCCUCUUGAAGAAUGUAUUUUCUGUAAUAAAAUACAGUGGCUACUUGAAAUCUAUAAACUUAUGUGAGGUCUGGAUAAAUCUGAGCAACUUUCUUCUUUGUGCUCCAGGAACCUACGCACUAUAUAUAUAAAUAAAGCUUAAGUAAACAUCACUGCAAUCUGUGUUUUGUUUGAUUAUAUUAC
rnacentral:lncRNA from 1 species